GAUGAACGCUGGCGGCGUGCCUAAUACAUGCAAGUCGAGCGAACAGACGAGGAGCUUGCUCCUCUGACGUUAGCGGCGGACGGGUGAGUAACACGUGGAUAACCUACCUAUAAGACUGGGAUAACUUCGGGAAACCGGAGCUAAUACCGGAUAAUAUAUUGAACCGCAUGGUUCAAUAGUGAAAGACGGUUUUGCUGUCACUUAUAGAUGGAUUCGCGCCGCAUUAGCUAGUUGGUAAGGUAACGGCUUACCAAGGCGACGAUGCGUAGCCGACCUGAGAGGGUGAUCGGCCACACUGGAACUGAGACGCGGUCCAGACUCCUACGGGAGGCAGCAGUAGGGAAUCUUCCGCAAUGGGCGAAAGCCUGACGGAGCAACGCCGCGUGAGUGAUGAAGGUCUUCGGAUCGUAAAACUCUGUUAUUAGGGAAGAACAAAUGUGUAAGUAACUAUGCACGUCUUGACGGUACCUAAUCAGAAAGCCACGGCUAACUACGUG
rnacentral:rRNA from 1 species